rnacentral:rRNA from 1 species
AACAAACGCUGGCGGCGUGCCUAAUACAUGCAAGUCGAACGGGGAAAGCUUUCGGGUGAGUACUAGUGGCGCACGGGUGAGGAACGCGUGGAUAAUCUGCCUUAGAGUGGGGGAUAACUAGUCGAAAGAUUAGCUAAUACCGCAUAAGACCACGAGAGCUGCGGCUUUUGAGGUCAAAGGUUUUUCGCUCUAAGAUGAGUCCGCGUAAGAUUAGCUAGUUGGUGAGGUAACGGCUCACCAAGGCGACGAUCUUUAACUGGUCUGAGAGGAUGAUCAGUCACACUGGAACUGAGACACGGUCCAGACUCCUACGGGAGGCAGCAGUAGGGAAUCUUGCACAAUGGAGGAAACUCUGAUGCAGCGACGCCGCGUGAGUGAUGAAGGCCUUCGGGUCGUAAAGCUCUGUCGCAGGGGAAUAACACAAUGAAGGUACCCUGUAAGAAAGGAUCGGCUAACUUCGUG